rnacentral:lncRNA from 1 species
GGAGAGCGCCUCGGGCGGGGGGCCGGCUGGCGCGCGCCGGACGUUUCGCUCGCAUCUCGCCGGGAGCGAAGCGUUUCAGAGGUCGGGUGAGGCUGCCCUCUCGACUCUGCCUUUCUAGAUAGCCGCGGUCCGUGCUACGCCCCGGACAGGUGUAAAUCUUUCUACGUGGCAUCUGACUCAACAACAUUAAACUGUGAAGCUGAGUUCUCCAGGACUGCAGCCCUUCUCUGAAGAGAAACGUCUCUAUGACACUGCUAGUGACUGUUUGCUGGAUCCUGUGGGAUUGUGGACAGCCAGGAGCAAACUCCAUGAACUUGCUGCGUUUCCACGUGCACCACAGCUGCCGCGGCUCCUCGCUGUAGUGGAACCGAUGCCCUUCGUGUUGUUUGUUCUCUCAGUUCUGUCAAGCAGGACGUACGUGGGACCUUAUCGUAUCGUUUUGGCAGGCUCUCCGCCAGUUACUGCUGACAGACACCCGUUUAUCAGCCGCAUCUCUGAGACAAGGCGGCCGGCCCGGCUUUCGAGAGUAAAGAGUCCAAACG